UACGUAGGGGGCAAGCGUUGUCCGGAUUUAUUGGGCGUAAAGCGCUCGCAGGUGGUUCGUUGCGUCGUGCGUGAAAGACCCCGGCUCAACCGGGGGAUGUCGUGCGAUACGGGCGGACUGGAGGCCAGUAGGGGGAUGCGGAAUUCCGGGUGUAGUGGUGGAAUGCGUAGAGAUCCGGAGGAACACCAGCGGCGAAGGCGGCAUCCUGGACUGGUCCUGACACUCAGGAGCGAAAGCGUGGGGAGCGAGCCGG
rnacentral:rRNA from 1 species